rnacentral:rRNA from 1 species
UACGAAGGGGGCUAGCGUUGCUCGGAAUUACUGGGCGUAAAGCGCACGUAGGCGGCUUGUUUAAGUCGGGGGGUGAAAUCCUGGAGCUCAACUCCAGAACUGCCUUUGAUACUGAGGAUCUUGAGUAUGGGAGAGGUGAGUGGAACUGCGAGUGUAGAGGUGAAAUUCGUAGAUAUUCGCAAGAACACCAGUGGCGAAGGCGGCUCACUGGCCCAUAACUGACGCUCAGGCACGAAAGCGUGGGGAGCAAACAGGA